rnacentral:rRNA from 1 species
GACGAACGCUGGCGGCGUGCUUAACACAUGCAAGUCGAACGGAGAGGCCCUGCUUUUGUGGGGUGCUCGAGUGGCGAACGGGUGAGUAACACGUGAGUAACCUGCCCUUGACUUUGGGAUAACUUCAGGAAACUGGGGCUAAUACCGGAUAGGAGCUCCUGCUGCAUGGUGGGGGUUGGAAAGUUUCGGCGGUUGGGGAUGGACUCGCGGCUUAUCAGCUUGUUGGUGGGGUAGUGGCUUACCAAGGCUUUGACGGGUAGCCGGCCUGAGGGGGUGACCGGCCACAUUGGGACUGAGAUACGGCCCAGACUCCUACGGGAGGCAGCAGUGGGGAAUAUUGCACAAUGAGCGGAAGCCUGAUGCAGCAACGCCGCGUGCGGGAUGACGGCCUUCGGGUUGUAAACCGCUUUCGCCUGUGACGAAGCGUGAGUGACGGUAAUGGGUAAAGAAGCACCGGCUAACUACGUG